rnacentral:rRNA from 1 species
UGGGGAAUAUUGCACAAUGGACGGAAGUCUGAUGCAGCAACGCCGCGUGCGGGAUGACGGCCUUCGGGUUGUAAACCGCUUUUUCUCAUGACGAAGUUUUUUGACGGUAGUGGGGGAAGAAGCACCGGCUAACUACGUGCCAGCAGCCGCGGUGAUACGUAGGGUGCGAGCGUUGUCCGGAAUUAUUGGGCGUAAAGAGCUUGUAGGCGGUUUGUCGCGUCGAUAGUGCAAACUCAGUGCUUAACGCUGAGCCUGCUGUUGAUACGGGCAGACUAGAGGAAGGUAGGGGAGAAGGGAAUUCCCGGUGGAGCGGUGGAAUGCGCAGAUAUCGGGAGGAACACCGGUGGCGAAGGCGGUUCUCUGGGCCUUUCCUGACGCUGAGAAGCGAAAGCGUGGGGAGCGAACAGG